rnacentral:lncRNA from 1 species
UUUCUUUCUUUCUUUCUUUUUUUUUUCUUUCUUUCUUUCUUUCUUUCUUUCUUUCUUUCUUUCUUUCUUCUUUCUUUCUUUCUUCUUUCCUUUUUCUUCUUCUUUCUUUCAGAUUUUAUUUAUUUAUUCAUGAGAAACAUACAGAGUGAGGCAGAGACACAGGCAGAGGGAGAAGCAGGCUCCCUACAGAGAGCCUGAUGUGGGACUUGAUCCCAGGACCCCAGGAUCAUGCCCUGGGCCAAAGGCAGAAGCUCAACUGCUGAGCCAACCAGGUGUCCCUAGAGGUUUCUAUAUAGGGGAGUAGAAUGCAACCUGCUAUACCAUUCUUCCUUGUCAAGUCAGGAACACAACGAAAUGCCCAGCAUAGCCUCUGGGCCACUGUACUUUCAUGUUCUAUGGCUCUCUUCUGUCCUUUCCCUCACUGCUGGCAGCUGUGGCUCUCCAGGCCACAGUAAGACCCAGCUUCCCAAGUUAAUGGUGGAGCUAGAAGGAUACAGAAAACAAGGUAGUUCCUGCACCAGCCAGUGUCCUGGGAAGAAAUCGGACAGGGACACAAUAACUAAUGUUACUCAAGAUAUCUUUUUCUCGAGCCAGGGAUUUAUGAAUAGAGGGAAUUUAUAUCCUUUUAUUAAACAGGCUGGUGUGUUUGUCCACUGAGUAGCCAGUCUCAAGAGAGACCUUAAGGAAGUUCUGUUUAGUCUCUUCAGUUUCUAGUGUCUUCAGUGAAGAGUAAAAUCUUCUCCAGCUUCAAGGUUUACAGGGUGAUAAGCUGCAACAGUACUCCCCAAGGCGAGUGUCUCACCCCAAGAACACUGCCCUGCUCUGGGGCUAUGGGAAGCCUUCCCGAGUCUUUCCAUUUACUAUGUUCUUGGAGGACUUUUGGAGUCCACAGGCCUUGUCUUAUUGGAUGUUCACAGAGGCAUGUGUUUUUCACUCUGCUAUGAAAAAGGAACAUGUACUUUUUACUUUAAAGUCCAAAGGAACUAAAUUUAUUUGCUCCACUUUUUCACGUAUACAACGUCCAUUGUUGUACUCUAAGGUGACAUCUAAUAAGCUUGUCUCAAAGUUACUUUUAAAAAAAUGGAAUUUUUUUUUCUUUUUCCAAAUCAAGUGGACUCGAGUAAGGAAAUACCAUUCAUCCAAACAUUUAUUUAUUUUUUAUUUUUUAAAAGAUUUUAUUUAUUUACUCAUGAGAGACACAGAGAGAGAGAGAGAGAGGCAGAGACACAGGCAGAGGGAGAAGGAGGCUCCAUGCAGGAGCCUGAUGCGGGACUCCAUCCAGGAACUCCGGGAUCACGCCUCAGGCCAAAGGCAGACACUCAACUACUAAGCUACCCAGGCAUCCCUAUCCAAACAUUUUUUGAGUAGUUGCUAUGUGACAGGAAUCUUCCAAGAUUCUCAGAAGAAUGGGAUAAUUAGAUUUUGGAUUGAUAAUAACAAAAACAAUUAUUGUUGAGCACUUUCUCUAUGUAAUAUAAAGUGCGAUAACCAGAUAUAUAAAGAUAUGUCAAAGAAGCAAAAUAAAAAGUAAAUAGCUGCUGAUUUGCUUGUGACAAAUGACAGAAGGUCUUGACAGAGCAAAGCAAAUGGAAUUGCCCACUGGACCUUGACCCAGUGCAUAGCCAUGACAUAUCACAAUCUGGGCUGUAAUGGAUAAGGUCUUCAUGAGCAAAGAUUGGAGACAAAGGGAGCUCAUGGGAUGCUGUCUUAUCUGUAGAAUAUGUAUACAACUUGGAUUGGUUAUCGGGUCUAAGCAAGUCUUGAAGCCAAGUCAGUAUUUAGGUGUUUCUAUCUGUGGAAAUUUCUCCAUUCUUCCAGUCAACUCCUUGUGUUUCUUAAGACAUAAAACAAUUUACUACACUCAAAAUUUUAUAAGAGCCUGAUUUCUUAUUUUCUGUGCUAAUUCUGUUUCUGAGAGUACCAAAAUAACUACACUUACACUCAGAUGUUCUCACGAUUGUGAUAAUCAAAUGGAAUUCAUUGAUAUAUAUAUAUAUAUAUACAUAUAUAUAUAUGUAUAUAUAUAUAUAUAUAUAUGCAAAUAUAUGUUCUAAUAGUACAUUUGGGUCUAUGAGAAAAUAGCCUUAGUAAUUAGGUCCACUAAUGCAGUUAGCUAGAUAUUGACACAACUCUGAAAACUUGAAACAUAUCAGUUUCAAACAUGUUCUUCCAAACCUGUACAACUUGUGUAAUAAGUUUGUAUGAAUUUUAUCUAUGGAUAUCUUUCUUUUUAUAAAAGGCAAAGAGGAACCCUUAUUAUAAUUUAUAUACAUAAAUCCUAUUCAGUAUGUUAAACUUCUAUAGGCAGUUUCUCUUUCAAAAUAAAAUUUUAUUUUUAAAAAUAAAGAAUUUA